UACGUAGGGAGCAAGCGUUGUCCGGAAUCAUUGGGCGUAAAGAGCGUGUAGGCGGUCCGGUAAGUCCGCUGUGAAAGUCGGGGGCUCAACCCUCGAAUGCCGGUGGAUACUGUCGGGCUAGAGUGCGGAAGAGGCGAGUGGAAUUCCUGGUGUAGCGGUGAAAUGCGCAGAUAUCCGAAGGAACACCGGUGGCGAAGGCGGCUUCCUGGACCGACACUGACGCUGAGGCGCGAAAGCUAGGGGAGCAAACGGG
rnacentral:rRNA from 1 species